UUCCUCGUGGUCUAGCGGUUAAGACUCUGAGCUCCCAGUUCAGGGGGCCUGGGUUUGAUCCCCGGUCAGGGAA
rnacentral:tRNA from 1 species